GUAUAAAACCAGGUGCUCUUGGUCCUCAUUUGUCCCCUUCUCAGGAAAGCUUAGCUCGGGGCUGACAGCUUUGCUUCCCAGGGCAGGCGCACCUCACGCUGGCCCGUGGGUUUCCUCGCUGCGGAGCAGAAGUCUGGCCGCUCUAGCCUUGAAGUGUUGCUGACAUAUCUCUGUCUAUGAACCCCCAGCAGCCAGGCAUGAACUCCCAGCUCAGCAGCUUUACCGUGGGGGCUGUAGCCUCAUGGUUGCAUCUAGCUCCUCAGAUGGACCUGACCCUUGCUGGAGAGGGGUUGACAAGUUGUGGGAAGAAGCUGUGCUCCCAGGUUUUCUCAGGAGCAGGAGACAGCAAAGGGGUCUCACACACAAACUCUUAAUAGCAACCCCAUUUUAUUGGUUAUUUAUUUUACUCCCAUAUAGUAUGUAUUUCAGUAAGUGCAUGCAUGCAUUUAUAUAUACAUGUUUUGAAUCAUUUAAUCCCCAGUACAACCCAAAGAAGAGGUACUUUCCCACUUCAUGGACAAGAAGCUGAGGCCCAGAGAAGGGAGAUACGCUGUCCUCGUGGUAGUGAUGUAGUGGGUUCCCUUCUCUGCACUCAAGCCUGGGCAGCUUGGCCUGGAGUCUGCACUCUGACCCGGUACUGUGCUACCUGGGUGAGGAGACUUUGGAGGAGGCCAGAGGGGACCGUGUGGACAAAGGCUGGGAGGCUUGGGACGGUCAGUUUGUAAGUGGGUGGACAUCCCAUCACACCAUUGUCAAUGCCGUUUAUGAAGUAGUGAGGGUGGCACCAGCAACAUGGAAACGCACAGGAGGGACAGACCCCUAAUGGUUCCAGAGAGCUACUUGGUUAAAGAGCAGUUUCUUGAGGGCUUUGGUGAUCACUGCACAGACUCCUCUCUCAACACCUAAGCCCACAUUCCUAGCCACUGGACACAUGGACCUGCCUAACAUGACUGCCUCCAAGCUUUUGUACCUGCUGUGCCCUCUGUCUCUGCUAAGCUCCAUGUAUCUUUCAAGCUGAGACUCCCCUGCCUACAGUCUGGAUCCUCAUGGAAAGAGCUGAGCCAUGAUUAUGCAUAUUCCCAGCCUGGCACUGUAACAACUGCAGGCCCUGUAUCUAAUCCCCUAACACUCAGGCAGCACUCAAAGGUCCUGAGUGCCUGAAGGAGCUGGCUGGCAUCAGGAAACUCCAGAAAGAAGGAAGAAGGAAUGCAGAAGGAAUGGAAAAGUUUUCCCAGGCUUCACAUGCAGACAGAGGUUGUGUCUAUAUUGUUUGCCAGUGAAUUCCCAAGGCUUUGUGUGGCAGGCAGACAGAGGUUUGGAUUAAUGUAGUCAUUGCUGUACACCAAGGUUCGGGUUAGUGACAGCCCACAUACUAGACAGUGGCCCCAUAAGAUCAUGCUGGAGGUAAAAAAUUUCUGUCACCUAAUGACAUUAUAGUCAUUGUAAAAUGUAGUGCAUACAACAUAUUACUCACGUUUGUGAUGCUGGUCUAAACAAACCUACUAUGCAGCCAGUCAUGUAACUACACAACUACAUAUAGUACAUAACACUUGAUAAUGCAAAUAAAUGACUGUGC
rnacentral:lncRNA from 1 species